rnacentral:rRNA from 1 species
GAUGAACGCUGGCGGCGUGCCUAAUACAUGCAAGUCGAGCGAACAGACGAGGAGCUUGCUCCUCUGACGUUAGCGGCGGACGGGUGAGUAACACGUGGAUAACCUACCUAUAAGACUGGGAUAACUUCGGGAAACCGGAGCUAAUACCGGAUAACAUGUUGAACCGCAUGGUUCAACAGUGAAAGACGGUCUUGCUGUCACUUAUAGAUGGAUCCGCGCCGCAUUAGCUAGUUGGUAAGGUAACGGCUUACCAAGGCAACGAUGCGUAGCCGACCUGAGAGGGUGAGCGGCCACACUGGAACUGAGACACGGUCCAGACUCCUACGGGAGGCAGCAGUAGGGAAUCUUCCGCAAUGGGCGAAAUCCUGACGGAGCAACGCCGCGUGAGUGAAGAAGGUCUUCGGAUCGUAAAACUCUGUUAUUAGGGAAGAACAAAUGUGUAAGUAACUAUGCACGUCUUGACGGUACCUAAUCAGAAAGCCACGGCUAACUACGUG